AUACGUAGGGGGCGAGCGUUGUCCGGAUUUACUGGGUGUAAAGGGCGAGUAGGCGGGAUUGCAAGUCAGAUGUGAAAACUAUCGGCUUAACUGGUAGCGUGCAUUUGAAACUGCGGUUCUUGAGUGAUGGAGAGGCAGGCGGAAUUCCUAGUGUAGCGGUGAAAUGCGUAGAUAUUAGGAGGAACACCAGUGGCGAAGGCGGCCUGCUGGACAUUAACUGACGCUGAGGCGCGAAAGCGUGGGGAGCAAACAGGAUUAGAUACCCUGGUAGUCCACGCCGUAAACGAUGGAUACUAGGUGUGGGGGGUACUGACCCCUUCCGUGCCGGAGUUAACACAAUAAGUAUCCCACCUGGGGAGUACGGCCGCAAGGUUGAA
rnacentral:rRNA from 1 species